GAUUUAAAAUAUAGUAAAAGACUGAGGUAAACCCUCUUUAUUCUAUAUUCACUGAAUAUCUGAGUUUUGAAGGUGGUUUAUUGAAUUCUUGAAGAAAGGGUGAAAUUGUUGAUAUUGGAAGACAUUCGAUAGCGAAAGCAUUAACCAAUUCUGAUCUGACGCUAGGUACUAAAGUAUGGGGAUAAAUAGGAUUAGAGACCUAGUAGUCCAUACCUUAAACAAUGAGUGUUCAACGUCUUUUAAUAGGUACUAUUUGAUUAGGUUGCGAAUAGGCGUAUUGUUGGGGGUUUAAAGCUAACGCGUGAAACACCGCCUGGGGAAUGUGGCCGCAAGGUUAAACUCAAAGGAAUUGACGGAGACUUAUACAAGG
rnacentral:rRNA from 1 species